GCCCAGGUGGCGGAAUAGGUAGACGCUACGGACUUAAAAUCCGUUGACUGGAAACGGUCGUGCCGGUUCGAUUCCGGCCCCGGGCA
rnacentral:tRNA from 1 species